rnacentral:pre_miRNA from 1 species
UUGGUUUGAGAUGAGUGGACCCGUAAAUGUAAUAUCCGGGUCCACUUAUCUCAAACAAU